rnacentral:rRNA from 1 species
UGGGGAAUUUUGGACAAUGGGCGCAAGCCUGAUCCAGCCAUUCCGCGUGCAGGACGAAGGCCUUCGGGUUGUAAACUGCUUUUGUACGGAACGAAAAGGCUCUGGCUAAUACCUGGGGCUCAUGACGGUACCGUAAGAAUAAGCACCGGCUAACUACGUGCCAGCAGCCGCGGUAAUACGUAGGGUGCGAGCGUUAAUCGGAAUUACUGGGCGUAAAGCGUGCGCAGGCGGUUAUGUAAGACAGAGGUGAAAUCCCCGGGCUCAACCUGGGAACUGCCUUUGUGACUGCAUAGCUGGAGUACGGCAGAGGGGGAUGGAAUUCCGCGUGUAGCAGUGAAAUGCGUAGAUAUCAGGAGGAACACCGGCGGUGUAGACGGCUUGCUAGACCAUAACUGACGCUGAGGCACGAAAGCGUGGGUAGCAAACAG